rnacentral:sRNA from 1 species
GCUGCUGCAGCUCCUGUUGCUGCAGUUGCACGCCCAAAAUGGGCAUAGCCACGGGCGGCGGUCGCACGCCCCGUCCGGCUCGCACAGCUGCCGCCUGCGCCACCGACGCCAGACUUCGUUGCUGCUGCUGAUAUUGCUGCUGCUGUUGCAAUUGCUGCUGCUGCUGCUGUUGCAAUUGUUGCUGUUGCUGCUGUUGUAGUUGUUGUUGUUGCUGCUGCUGCUGCUGCUGCUCCUGCAAAGC